CAAUCUAUUUAGAGCAGAUUCUCAUUUAAGCCAUCCACUUUAUCUUAGAAUCAUUUGUUAUUGUAAGUCCAACUACAUCAUUGAUGUUGAAAAACAGAGAACAACUACAGUAUGAACAAUAAUUUUUUUA
rfam:Populus trichocarpa scaffold_1_contig_327, whole genome shotgun sequence.